UAGCUUAGUGGUAGAGUGCAAGUCUUACAUACUUGAGGUCAUGGGUUCAAUUUCCAA
rnacentral:tRNA from 1 species